rnacentral:rRNA from 1 species
CCAGCAGCCGCGGUAAUUCCAGCUCUAAUAGCGUAUAUUUAAGUUGCUGCAGUUAAAAAGCUCGUAGUUGGAUUUCGGGUGGGCCCCGCCGGUCCGCCGUUUCGGUGUGCACUUGCGGGUCCCACCUUGUUGCCGGGGACGUGUUCCUGGGCUUUACUGUCCGGGACACGGAGUCGGCGAGGUUACUUUGAGUAAAUUAGAGUGUUCAAAGCAGGCCAACGCUUGAAUACAUUAGCAUGGAAUAAUGGAAUAGGACUUUGGUGCUAUUUCGUUGGUUUAUGGGACCGAAGUAAUGAUUAAUAGGGACAGUUGGGGCCGUUUAUAUUCCGUUGUCAGAGGUGAAAUUCUUGGAUUUACGGAAGAUAAACUUCUGCGAAAGCAUUCCGCAAGGAUGUUUUCAUUGAUCAAG